UUGAACGCUGGCGGCAUGCUUUACACAUGCAAGUCGAACGGCAGCGCGGGCUUCGGCCUGGCGGCGAGUGGCGAACGGGUGAGUAAUGCAUCGGAACGUGCCCAGUAGUGGGGGAUAGCCCGGCGAAAGCCGGAUUAAUACCGCAUACGACCUGAGGGUGAAAGCGGGGGACCGAAAGGCCUCGCGCUAUUGGAGCGGCCGAUGUCGGAUUAGCUAGUUGGUGGGGUAAAGGCUUACCAAGGCGACGAUCCGUAGCUGGUCUGAGAGGACGACCAGCCACACUGGGACUGAGACACGGCCCAGACUCCUACGGGAGGCAGCAGUGGGGAAUUUUGGACAAUGGGGGCAACCCUCAUCCAGCCAUGCCGCGUGCGGGAAGAAGGCCUUCGGGUUGUAAACCGCUUUUGUUCGGGAAGAAAUCCUCUGGGCUAAUACCCCGGGGGGAUGACGGUACCGGAAGAAUAAGCACCGGCUAACUACGUG
rnacentral:rRNA from 1 species